AUUGAACGCUGGCGGCAUGCCUUACACAUGCAAGUCGAACGGCAGCACGGACUUCGGUCUGGUGGCGAGUGGCGAACGGGUGAGUAAUAUAUCGGAACAUACCUUGUAGUGGGGGAUAACUAUCCGAAAGGAUAGCUAAUACCGCAUACGAUCCAAGGAUGAAAGCGGGGGAUCUUCGGACCUCGUGCUACAAGAGUGGCCGAUAUCUGAUUAGCUAGUUGGUGAGGUAAAGGCUCACCAAGGCGACGAUCAGUAGCUGGUCUGAGAGGACGACCAGCCACACUGGAACUGAGACACGGUCCAGACUCCUACGGGAGGCAGCAGUGGGGAAUUUUGGACAAUGGGGGCAACCCUGAUCCAGCAAUGCCGCGUGAGUGAAGAAGGCCUUCGGGUUGUAAAGCUCUUUUGUCAGGGAAGAAACGGUUGUGGCUAAUAUCCAUGGCUAAUGACGGUACCUGAAGAAUAAGCACCGGCUAACUACGUGCCAGCCGCCGCCGUAACAC
rnacentral:rRNA from 1 species